rfam:Glycine soja cultivar W05 scaffold311_12, whole genome shotgun sequence.
AAAAAGGUUUUUUUUUUUUAGUAAAACCACCAUUUUUUUAUAAAAAGAUAUA